GACGAACGCUGGCGGCGUGCUUAACACAUGCAAGUCGAGCGGUAAGGCCCUUUCGGGGGUACACGAGCGGCGAACGGGUGAGUAACACGUGGGUGACCUGUCCUCAGCUCUGGGAUAAGCCUGGGAAACCGGGUCUAAUACUGGAUAUGACUCCAUGACGCAUGUUGUGGGGUGGAAAGCCUUGUGCGGCUGAGGAUGGGCCCGCGGCCUAUCAGCUUGUUGGUGGGGUGAUGGCCUACCAAGGCGACGACGGGUAGCCGGCCUGAGAGGGCGACCGGCCACACUGGGACUGAGACACGGCCCAGACUCCUACGGGAGGCAGCAGUGGGGAAUCUUGCGCAAUGGGCGAAAGCCUGACGCAGCGACGCCGCGUGAGGGAUGACGG
rnacentral:rRNA from 1 species